UAUACCUGAGUAGCUCAAGUCAAGCGGGACAGUGCAAAAAGGUGGUUAGACGUAACCCCCCUUCCUUAGUAGUUUGUGCUAUGUGAGGGGAUAGAAUUUAUGAAUGGAGUGGGAGGAUCUGGGAGGAUAAGGGUGUAAUCUGGUUGAGCCUUCUAAGAAACGGGACUUUCUUUCUCUAGGCUGAGGCCACGGAACCGGCAAUUGAAGACAUGGAUUAGGUACCCAUUUAUUACCGACGCAAAUUUUGCUGUGGGCAGCUGCUUGGGUACUACGAGCGUGUGCUUAAAACUCAAAGAACUUGGCGGCUAGUUAACUACCUAGGGGAAUAUGCGCCUUAAUCCGAUGGUCCCCGUAGCAUCUUACUGUGCCUCGAAGAAGUUCAGCUGGUGUAUUGCCGUUGUCAGCUUGUAGUACGAGCGAAGAGUAACAGGCUCAACGGAACUUCUGACAAGUUCAGCAAGGAUCCAUGAAUUCAGGUCGAAAUGCUGCCAAUGGCUCAAGGGAGUGGGUGUUACAAUUUUAGAUUUAAAAUUACGGAUCUUUAGAUGAAAUGCUAGGGUGAAGGCGAACUUAGGAGUAAGGGAGGAUUAAUAUGCUCCUCUGAACGUGAUUCUAACUUUCGUACAAACUGCCCGUCGCUCUCGCUGAGAAGUGAGAUAAGUCGUAC
rnacentral:rRNA from 1 species